UUACUCUAGUGUUCUGCCAUGAACAUGACUCAGCUUUAUUCCCUCUCACUACUGACUGCCUUAAUUUUUUCCUCUGCUCAUCUUUUCUGUAGUUCCUAGUUUCUAUUUUACUCAUUGUUUCUGUUCCCUUAUUUGUUUAUUUUUUCUUUUAUUUUAGUACAAAUCUGAAGGAAGCUGAAAGAGAAAGGUGCCAUAGUCGGCAGGAUUCUGCUCCUUUAUAAUUUUGUUGCCUCUUGCACUUAUCAAUGGGACUGAAACACAACGUGAAGACUGCUGUCGAUCUUGAAGUUUCUGCAAAGAAGUAUGCACCCGAAGCCUCUUUGUGCAUGAAGGUAGGAUUGGGCACUGGGCUUGCCAUGGAGAAAGCUAUUGGGAAGGAGCUAAGCAGAUGCUGGAGGAUAUCAUUUUAUUGCAGUGGCAGCAAGCUGUCUCACCAGGUUGUUGGAGCACCCUGGGAGGGGAACUGUUUGGCACUGGCAAACAAAGGAGAAAGAAAAACACCAAGCAUAUGUGCCUUCAAUAAACACCUGAAGCAAAACCAAGGGAGUCUCCUCCCAGGUCUCACAUCGCAGCUUUCUUCAUGGUAAAUAUGUGACCCAGAAGUCCAUGGGACAGUCUCCAUAUCCUCAGUCAUUUGCCCGAGCCUUCCCAGGGUAAAAACCUGUUCAAGAUGUCACAUUUUCUAUCCCUGGUAUGCAGUUAGUGCCUGUCCUUCAUUUCAUCUGUGACUUCUGAUCUCUCUAAGCCAGGAAGUUGGAACAACUUAGAAUCUGAGAUUUCAUUAGGGAAAUGUGCUCUCUUUCCUCACCCCACUCCCUCUGUCAGUCAAUAGAAGUGGUUGAGUCCUUUCCCUUUGCAGACUCAUCAUUAGUGACAGAGUGGGGCAGGGGGAGUGGUACAAGGCCACAAAACCUGAAGAGAUUGCCAUUUUAUGUUGGGGAUGGCAGGGAACACGCCUGGAAGACUAGCCCAAAGUUCUCUGUUAUAGCCUGGCUCAAAAUUCAUCAUCUCCAGGAAGCCUCCUUUUCUUUUUAUCUGACCUGCCCCCCUCAUCAGAGGCUAUCUUGAAUUAUAGGGAUAUGUGUAGACAUUGUAGCUCCACUGAAGGCACAGGCCCUUUAGGGGGAAUGUCCAGGUCUUCCUCUAAUUUGUAAAACCCAUAGUGCCUGUCACAAGGUAAGUGUUUGGUAAAUGUUAAAUGAAUCACAUAGGCUUUGGAGUAAAUGUUACUACAAAGUAACAUUAUUCCAAAGAACGCCAUUAAUGGUGUUCUUUUCUACCCACCUAGCUCUUGAUUGUCUACACAGGGUCAUCACAUCCCAUUUUUCCUUGAAUCCUCACCAUGGCCUAUAUGGUUUCUGCUCUCAGGGAAAGGCUAGGAUGCUGGAUGCACUGUUAUAGACUUAUAAAAUUUGUUACCUUUGACAAAUGUGCUAUAAAGGGAGGAAUAAAAUACAUUUUAUUGGAAUGACUAAGAGGUUGUCAUUUCUCUUGACCAAAUAAAGUAUUUCUAAUGGAAAAGUCCAGAUGGUAUGGCCCAGGGAUUGUCUUUUAGGCUUUAUGAGCUUAAAUAUUUUACUUUUUGGUUGCUGCUCCAAGCUUUGCAAAGACCAGUUCCCUAAUCAUCCCAUUACCCCUUCAAAUACCUUUCCUGAGUCCCUGGGAGCCUCCCCCUCCAAUGUUUUCACCUUGGGUGACAAUAACACACAGCACUUAUACAGAGUGCCCUCUUUGCACAUGCCCCAUGACAACCUGCUGCUGGCCUGGCAGCAGUGAGCACCUCCCUGUGAGACAGAAUGCUUCCUGGGCAUGAUUGUACUCAUACGGAUGGUCCAUCAGUGUUUGGCCUCUUGGUCCAACACUACUAUGACCCUCUCCAAUUGCCCAGAAAUCACUCCUUGUUGAACAUAUCCUGUUGUUCUACAGACACCAAAAGCUGUCCUUUCCAUCGGGCAGAUGGCAAGCUCACCGCCCUGAUGCAAGUCUGGAGCCACUAGGGAGCGCCCUUUCCCUCUGGCUCCCGCCUUCAGGUGGGGAACUCCAUGUGGCCCAUCUUCUAGUCCCUUCCCCUCAGGUCUCUGCUUCAUCAAGUUUUAGCCCAAAGUAAGACCGCAGUCCCACAGCCACAGAGAAAUGAACUUUUUGCUAACUGGAAGCCUGCAGUGAUCAAGUCAGUCUUUCCCCGCCCUCAUUCCUAGAGGCUGGAGAGCCCCCACCUCUCUGUGACCCACUCACCCCCAACCAUGGGAAGAGGGAAGGCCAAAAAGGGAGAGUGGGAGGGGAAGAUUCAGGAUGAGAGGGAUGAUCAGCUGUGAGGGGAGAGGGCAAGUCCCAGGAAAUGUUGACUCCUUCCUUUCCAUCCUGCCGUGCAGUCUUUUUCUUUUGUAGCAUUGCCUCCAGUGAAACCCCCAGGCUGUGGAGUGAUCAGAUAGGCACCUUUACCCCCAGAGUCAGUUCCUCAAUUGGCUGGCUUUCCGAGGUGCAGACCACCAGAGAUUCUCAUCUAGGUUCACUGGAAGUGACUUAAAUCUUCCUUUCUGUGUCCUCCCCUUUAUUCCAUUCCCUAAACCCACCAAACACUAAGGGCAGGCUCCCUUUGGAUGCCUGGGCAGUAAAACUAGCUCAUUUUCCUAGGAGACCCAGGGUGAUUUCUCAGUGUAGUUAUCCCUGUGUCUGCCUCUGUUUCCUCGGGGCUACUUUGCUAAAACAGAAACACAGGCCUGGGCACCUAACUGUGCCUUUGUGCUCUGAGUGGGGUGCCGCCACACGCAAAAACGCCCAGAGAGGCAGUGAGGGGCUGGAGCUAAACACUUGGUGCUGGGCUUUGCUGAUGAUGGUAUAAUGUGACACUGUACAAUCGCAUGCUGGAUUUCACAUUUUCUCUAUAAAACAUUUAUUUUUCCUGAUACAGUAUUUUAGUCUUUUUGAUAAUGCUAGAUUUUCAAUUGACUGAAUUUUAUUUCCUUUGUAUUCCCAUAGUGAACAGUUCAUUUAGGUAGAUGCCCUAUACCCAGGUAAUCCUGAUAGAUUAACUGCUACACCUCCCUUCCCCCUUUUCUCACAGUGGACUUCUAUUAGGUUAUUCUCACUCUGAGAACUCUCCAUUAAUAAUUUCUUUUCCACAGUUAACAAUAAAGCUUUUUAAAUGAAGAGGUUAACUUCUUUUUAAAUGCCUAAAGGCACAUUCUGACAAGUUUUUUGCUUCUUUUCACUUUCUUGAUUUUUGAUAUAUGCAAAGCAAAUAAAUUGAAUAAAGCCUG